AAAUAAGCUUGAGAAAUAUUAAGGAUGGGGCCACAGUUUGGGUUUUAGCAACUGAUUGGAAAGUGAUGCCAUUCACAUUGGACACGUUUAAAUUUGAGAUGCUAGUGGAACAACCAUGUAUAGACACCUACUCGGCAAUCCUGCAUAUGAUCUCAACAUCAGAAGAAAGAUGUGGGCUGAUGACACAGAACUGAGAAUAGCCAGCGUUGCCACUGGGAGUAACCAUCACAUAUGUGGCAAAAAAGGCCAUUGGCGCAGAUACAAUCACCCAGGCGGGAUGUGUAAAAUGGAAAAAGAAGGCAACCUAGAAGCAGAAUUCAACGUAUCAGAUACAGUAAUGAAGACAAUAAGAAAUUGGAUUGAUCCAGGUCUGGAGUUUUGCCACAGAGUGAAAUGGAACAACAAUAUGCAGGAGAAGUGAGGACACUGAAUUCUACUUGAAAAUUAUACAGAAACAAUUUCUUAGAAUGCUCACAAAAGACCUGAAAACAUGGGGAGGAAGCAGGGCAUUUACAGCUUAUAACUCAUGCAAAACAACAUGCUGCAAUGUUCUGAUGAAAUGCUCCUCUACAGUCGAGGCUCCCAGAAGGCAGAGAGCAUAUACAUUAACUCAUUCUGCUCAACACUUAGCUCAUGUCCAUGGAGAGAUGUUGAAUAUGAGCUCCUAUUAAAAAGAGGGAAUACAAUCAAUCAUUUGAGAAUGUCCAAAAAGAACUUUUCCUUUCCAUCAAGCCUUACAAAUUAUUCUAAGAUUGUUUCUGUAAAUACCAUGUAAUUGGGAGAGAUACACAGGGAACGUCAAUUGUGUCUGUAAUGUUUUACUGCUUAUGAUAAAAAGAUCUGAAACAAAUGUGACAAAAUACUAAGAUUUCAC